UCGGCUUAGAGUUUGAUCCUGGCUCAGGAUGAACGCUGGCGGCGUGCCUAAUACAUGCAAGUCGAACGAAACUUCUUUAUCACCGAGUGCUUGCACUCACCGAUAAAGAGUUGAGUGGCGAACGGGUGAGUAACACGUGGGCAACCUGCCCAAAAGAGGGGGAUAACACUUGGAAACAGGUGCUAAUACCGCAUAACCAUAGUUACCGCAUGGUAACUAUGUAAAAGGUGGCUAUGCUACCGCUUUUGGAUGGGCCCGCGGCGCAUUAGCUAGUUGGUGAGGUAAAGGCUUACCAAGGCGAUGAUGCGUAGCCGAACUGAGAGGUUGAUCGGCCACAUUGGGACUGAGACACGGCCCAAACUCCUACGGGAGGCAGCAGUAGGGAAUCUUCCACAAUGGGCGAAAGCCUGAUGGAGCAACGCCGCGUGGGUGAAGAAGGUCUUCGGAUCGUAAAACCCUGUUGUUAGAGAAGAAAGUGCGUGAGAGUAACUGUUCACGUUUCGACGGUAUCUAACCAGAAAGCCACGGCUAACUACGUGCCAGCAGCCGCGGUAAUACGUAGGUGGCAAGCGUUAUCCGGAUUUAUUGGGCGUAAAGGGAACGCAGGCGGUCUUUUAAGUCUGAUGUGAAAGCCUUCGGCUUAACCGGAGUAGUGCAUUGGAAACUGGGAGACUUGAGUGCAGAAGAGGAGAGUGGAACUCCAUGUGUAGCGGUGAAAUGCGUAGAUAUAUGGAAGAACACCAGUGGCGAAAGCGGCUCUCUGGUCUGUAACUGACGCUGAGGUUCGAAAGCGUGGGGAGCAAACAGGA
rnacentral:rRNA from 1 species